GGCGGCCUACACAUGCAGUGUCAGCGGAUAGGAGAGAGAGCUUAGCUCCUAGGAUUCAGCGGCGGACGGGUGAGUAAUAGCCUAGGAAUCUGCCUGGUAGUGGGGGAUAACGUCCGGAAACGGGCGCUAAUACCGCAUACGUCCUGAGGGAGAAAGUGGGGGAUCUUCGGACCUCACGCUAUCAGAUGAGCCUAGGUCGGAUUAGCUAGUUGGUGGGGUAAAGGCCUACCAAGGCGACGAUCCGUAACUGGUCUGAGAGGAUGAUCAGUCACACUGGAACUGAGACACGGUCCAGACUCCUACGGGAGGCAGCAGUGGGGAAUAUUGGACAAUGGGCGAAAGCCUGAUCCAGCCAUGCCGCGUGUGUGAAGAAGGUCUUCGGAUUGUAAAGCACUUUAAGUUGGGAGGAAGGGCAGUAAGUUAAUACCUUGCUGUUUUGACGUUACCAACAGAAUAAGCACCGGCUAACUUCGUGCCAGCAGCCGCGGUAAUACGAAGGGUGCAAGCGUUAAUCGGAAUUACUGGGCGUAAAGCGCGCGUAGGUGGUUCAGCAAGUUGGAUGUGAAAUCCCCGGGCUCAACCUGGGAACUGCAUCCAAAACUACUGAGCUAAGUACGGUAAGGG
rnacentral:rRNA from 1 species